rnacentral:rRNA from 1 species
AUACGUAGGGGGCGAGCGUUGUCCGGAAUGAUUGGGCGUAAAGGGCGCGUAGGCGGCCCGGUAAGUCUGGAGUGAAAGUCCUGUUUUUAAGAUGGGAAUUGCUUUGGAUACUGUCGGGCUUGAGUGCAGGAGAGGUAAGUGGAAUUCCCAGUGUAGCGGUGAAAUGCGUAGAGAUUGGGAGGAACACCAGUGGCGAAGGCGACUUACUGGACUGUAACUGACGCUGAGGCGCGUAAGUGUGGGGAGCAAACAGGAUUAGAUACCCUGGUAGUCCACACUGUAAACGAUGAAUGCUAGGUGUAAGAGGUAUCGACCCCUUUUGUGCCGGAGUUAACACAAUAAGCAUUCCGCCUGGGGAGUACGGCCGCAAGGUUGAAACUCAAAUGAAUUGGCGGGG